CCCAGGUUCAAGCGAUUCUCUUGCCUCAGUCACCUGAGUAGCUGGGAUUACAGGCACCUGCCACCACACCCAGCUAAUUUUUGUAUUUUUCAUACAGACAGGGUUUCACCAUGCUGGCCAGACUGGCACCCGCCUCAGCCUCCCAAAGUGCUAGGAUUACAGGCAUUAGCCACCGUACCCAGCCUCAAAACAGUGAUUUUUGAGGUAAGUUGAAAAGGGUGCCUCCUUUUCAUUAAUUUGGAGAGGGGGUAACAAUUUGCCUGUAUUUCUAUUUUUGAAAAAACUCUUUUCAAACAUCCUGUUAGACCGGGCACUAUGACUCAUGCCUGUAAUCACAACACUUUGGGAGGCCAACGCAGGAGGACUACUUGAGCUCAGGAGUUCAAAACCAGCCUGUGCAACAAAGCAAGACCUUGUCUCUGCUAAAAAUAAGAAAAAGUAGCUGGGCAUGACAGUGUGUGCCUGUGGUCCCAGCUACUUGGAGGCUGAGGGUGAGAGGGUCACUUGAGCCCAGGAGGUCGAGGUUGGAGUGAGCUAUGAUAGCGCCCCCGCACUCCGGCGGUGGGCAACAGAGCAAGAUUCUGUCUUAAAAAACAAACAAAAAAACCCCACGAAAACACUUCUUGUUAGGAUAGAUGUGGUAGCUCCCGCCUGUGAUCACAGCACUUUGGGAGGCCAAGGUUAGAAGAUCGUGUGAAGUCAAGAGUUUGAGACCAGUCUGGACAACACAGCAAAACCCCGAACUAUACCAAAAACCAAAACUUCUUGUUAUUGGUAAAAGUACUGAAUUUUUAUAUGAACAUCAAAGUUAAAUACCUGACUGAUAUGAAAAUGGUCUUGUCAAAUGCAUGAAAAAGGACUGGUUGUCUUCAGGUGAGAUGAGAGUCAUAGGUUUGGAGUAUUUCUGUGACGUUCUCUCAUUUCAGGAGCUCCACUCAGCUGCUUCCUGUACAAACCUCCACAGAGAAAUUCCAGAUGGCAGCAUGGGGACACUGAGGAUGAUUGGAGAUGUUGGACACUCGCGAGCAGAAUGACUCUGAAACAGUCAAGAGGCAGCAAGCCUGGAGCUCCUUCCAGAUCUUCUUGAAUUCUCCUUUAAAACUCACCAGCAAGUGCUGACCUGGGAAUUUGAAAACAGCACACUAAAAUGAAGAUAUCAACUCACUUCCUGGACUUUAAACUUUAUGACUCUGUGGCUGGAAUGCAGCCAUUCAGUUCUUCAAGGUGCUUCCACAGGGACCAUACCGUUACUGGGGUGAAUAAGCUUCGAGACCCCUUAGCGGG
rnacentral:lncRNA from 1 species